UCAAAUUUGAAAUCUGGCGUCUUUGGCGUCCGAGUUGUAAUUUGAAGAAGGUAUCUUUGGGCCCGGCUCUUGUCUAUGUUCCUUGGAACAGGACGUCACAGAGGGUGAGAAUCCCGUGCGAUGAGAUGACCCGGGUCUGUGUAAAGUUCCUUCGACGAGUCGAGUUGUUUGGGAAUGCAGCUCUAAGUGGGUGGUAAAUCCCAUCUAAAGCUAAAUAUUGGCGAGAGACCGAUAGCGAACAAGUACAGUGAUGGAAAGAUGAAAAGAACUUUGAAAAGAGAGUGAAAAAGUACGUGAAAUUGUUGAAAGGGAAGGGCUUGAGAUCAGACUUGGUAUUUUGCAUGCUGCUCUCUCGGGGGCGGCCGCUGCGGUUAACCGGGCCAGCAUCGGUUUGGAGCGGCAGGAUAAUGGCGGAGGAAUGUGGCACGGCUUCUGCUGUGUGUUAUAGCCUCU
rnacentral:rRNA from 1 species